ACUCCUCUCAGACCGAAACAAACAAAUCGAAGUAAAACGACGACUCCUUCUGCGUUUCAUCUCUCGCUUCGAACCUCUUCGUUCUUCAAACCUAAGGCCUAGAGUAGGGAAUCGAAGAUACCAGGUAGACGGUAGACGAUUAAGCAGAGGGAGAGAAGAAUCCAGAUUCAGAGAGAGGAG